rnacentral:rRNA from 1 species
AGUGAACGCUGGCGGUAGGCCUAACACAUGCAAGUCGAACGGCAGCACAGGAGAGCUUGCUCUCUGGGUGGCGAGUGGCGGACGGGUGAGGAAUACAUCGGAAUCUACUUUUUCGUGGGGGAUAACGUAGGGAAACUUACGCUAAUACCGCAUACGACCUACGGGUGAAAGCAGGGGACCUUCGGGCCUUGCGCGAUUGAAUGAGCCGAUGUCGGAUUAGCUAGUUGGCGGGGUAAAGGCCCACCAAGGCGACGAUCCGUAGCUGGUCUGAGGGGAUGAUCAGCCACACUGGAACUAAGACACGGUCCAGACUCCUACGGGAGGCAGCAGUGGGGAAUAUUGGACAAUGGGCGCAAGCCUGAUCCAGCCAUACCGCGUGGGUGAAGAAGGCCUUCGGGUUGUAAAGCCCUCUUGUUGGGAAAGAAAUCCAGCUGGCUAAUACCCGGUUGGGAUGACGGUACCCAAAGAAUAAGCACCGGCUAACUUCGUGCCAGCAGCCGCCGUAA